GACGAACGCUGGCGGCGUGCCUAAUACAUGCAAGUAGAACGCUGAAGGAGGAGCUUACUUCUCUGGAUGAGUUGCGAACGGGUGAGUAACGCGUAGGUAACCUGCCUGGUAGCGGGGGAUAACUAUUGGAAACGAUAGCUAAUACCGCAUAAGAGUAGAUGUUGCAUGACAUUUACUUAAAAGGUGCAAUUGCACCACUACCAGAUGGACCAGCGUUGUAUUAGCUAGUUGGGGGGGUAACGGCUUACCAAGGAGAAGAUACAUAGCCGACCUGAGAGGGUGAUCCGCCACACUGGGACUGAAACACGGCCCAGACUCCUACGGGAGGCAGCAGUAGGGAAUCUUCGGCAAGGGACGGAAGUCUGACCGAGCAACGCCGCGUGAGUGGAGAAGGUUUUCGGAUCGUAAAGCUCUGUUGUAAGAGAAGAACGAGUGUGAGAGUGGAAAGUUCACACUGUGACGGUAUCUUACCAGAAAGGGACGGCUAACUACGUGCCAGCCGCCGCCGUAA
rnacentral:rRNA from 1 species